AGAGUUUGAUCCUGGCUCAGGACGAACGCUGGCGGCGCGCCUAACACAUGCAAGUCGAACGAAGCUUAGUUGAUUAAUCCUUCGGGAAGCGUUGAUUAAACUUAGUGGCGGACGGGUGAGUAACACGUGAGGAACCUGCCUUGCAGAGGGGGAUACCGUUUGGAAACGAACGUUAAUACCCCAUAACGUAUCGGGACCGCAUGAUUCUGAUACCAAAGAUUUAUCGCUGUAAGAUGGCCUCGCGUCUGAUUAGAUAGUUGGUGAGGUAACGGCCCACCAAGUCGACGAUCAGUAGCCGGACUGAGAGGUUGAUCGGCCACAUUGGGACUGAGACACGGCCCAGACUCCUACGGGAGGCAGCAGUGGGGGAUAUUGCACAAUGGGCGAAAGCCUGAUGCAGCGACGCCGCGUGAGGGAAGACGGUUUUCGGAUUGUAAACCUCUGUCUUCGGGGACGAAAAAGGACGGUACCCGAGGAGGAAGCCACGGCUAACUACGUGCCAGCAGCCGCGGUAAUACGUAGGUGGCAAGCGUUGUCCGGAAUUACUGGGUGUAAAGGGAGAGUAGGCGGGAUUGCAAGUCCGUUGUUAAAUCUAUCGGCUCAACCGGUAGCUGCGGCGGAAACUGUAGUUCUUGAGUGAAGUAGAGGCAGGCGGAAUUCCUAGUGUAGCGGUGAAAUGCGUAGAUAUUAGGAGGAACACCAGUGGCGAAGGCGGCCUGCUGGGCUUUAACUGACGCUGAGGCUCGAAAGUGUGGGGAGCAAACCAGGAUUAGAUACCCUGGUAGUCCACACUGUAAACGAU
rnacentral:rRNA from 1 species